rnacentral:lncRNA from 1 species
AUGCUACACGUUAAUCCAAAAAGAAGUGAUACAGUGAAGGGCACAUUGAAUGUACUGCAACCAUUUGAUGAUAAAGGACCAACAGCUUGCCUGGCAUCAAUGUACUUUGAUAAUGAUGGAGAUAUGACUUUGACUGACAACAAUGACAAAGUAUCAUCACAUUCUAAGGAUUUGGCACUUUUGUCCAAAAAGGACAGGUUAUAUUACUUGGCGGGAGUUUCUGAUAAUGGAAUUAAAAGCUGCACACAUAAAGGAAGAGCGUCUCAGAAAAAACAAGACAGCGAAAAGGCUACCACCGCAACACCCACUGUGGAAACGGAAGAAUGCCAAUCUAGAAAUGAUACUGCAAAGAAAGACACCAAAGAUUUUGCCAAGCUGAAUUUCAUGUCACUGACUGUGAAUGGGUUGAGAAUGCUGUUUGCAAAAACCGUCACGUUCAAUAUGCUGAUGACUGUCAGAGCCAUGAUCAUUUAAGAUUUAUUGGAAUCCCGAUAUGAGAUCUUCCACACCUUUGAAGACCAGGAUUCUGUGCCGAUUGGAAUAGUAGUUGGAAGAUGAAGAGUUUUGUUUUUCUUAUUCUGUAGUUUAGGUCAAGUUUCAGAUCAUUUCAACUCUGUAAUAGCCAUGCAACUCAUAUUCCAUUAUUCAUUAUAUAAGAGUAAGUUUUUGUUACUUUAUUCUUGUUUGACAUGUUGAAUAUUGAUCAUUCCUGCUGCCCAGCUGAACGGUUGAACAGAGCUGGAAUGCUGUGGAUGACAGCAAAGUUUUUUUUUUAUAGGACUUGAGCAUGUUGUUGUCUGUUCCCCUGUUCUGCCAAUAGUUUUGCAUGUCCUUGUUCACCUUGCUGUUUGCUUUGCUAACCUUGCAUGUGAAAAGCCUUGAUUAUGUAUUUAUCUUUAUUCUAAUUCAUUCAAUUCAAUAAAACUAUUUUACAGAUGCCACAU